AAAAAAGGGCCUCCCAUUUCAUUUUCUCUGUUAGGGUUUUAAAACCCUUUUUAGCCGCCAUCGCAGCUCCACCGCUAAUGGUGGUCGGAGACGCGCCAUUUUAGGCUCUUAGCCUCUUUCAAGCGGAUCCGAAGGCAAAGGUAAGAUGAAGUCAACGAGAGGAGUCUUUGCCAUUUCGGUGUAAGGUGGUCAGUCCUCGAGUGGUGGGCACGCUGUGGAGGCACGUGGGCAGCAAAGUGAACGGCACAUUAGGGUUAGGGUUUCAAAUUUUUUACUGAAACAAGUUAAGGUUUUGGGCCUAUUGGGCCCUGGGUCAUGGGUUUGUAAUUUGGGUUGUAGUUUUGGACCUGGGCAUAAAUUGGAUCUUACAAUAAUAAUAAUAAUAAUAAUAAUAAUAAUAUGAAUGGUUUUUUUAUAUAAA